rnacentral:rRNA from 1 species
CAGUCGCCACGGGAAUACGAAGGGGGCUAGCGUUGUUCGGAUUUACCGGGCGUAAAGGGCGCGUAGGCGGACUGAUAAGUCAGGGGUGAAAUCCCAAGGCUCAACCUUGGAACUGCCUUUGAUACUGUUUGUCUUGAGUUCGAGAGAGGUAAGUGGAACUGCGAGUGUAGAGGUGAAAUUCGUAGAUAUUCGCAAGAACACCAGUGGCGAAGGCGGCUUACUGGCUCGAAACUGACGCUGAGGCGCGAAAGCGUGGGGAGCAAACAGGAUUAGAUACCCGGGUAGUCCCUGUCUCUUAUAC